rnacentral:rRNA from 1 species
AACGAACGCUGGCGGCAGGCUUAACACAUGCAAGUCGAACGCCCCGCAAGGGGAGUGGCAGACGGGUGAGUAACGCGUGGGAACGUGCCCUUCGCUUCGGAAUAGUCCCGGGAAACUGGGUUUAAUACCGGAUACGCCGUAUUGGGAAAGAUUUAUCGGCGAAGGAUCGGCCCGCGUUAGAUUAGGUAGUUGGCGGUGUAAUGGACCACCAAGCCUACGAUCUAUAGCUGGUCUGAGAGGAUGAUCAGCCACACUGGGACUGAGACACGGCCCAGACUCCUACGGGAGGCAGCAGUGGGGAAUCUUGGACAAUGGGCGCAAGCCUGAUCCAGCCAUGCCGCGUGAGUGAAGAAGGCCUUAGGGUUGUAAAACUCUUUCGCCGGAGAAGAUAAUGACGGUAUCCGGAGAAGAAGCCCCGGCUAACUUCGUGCCAGCCGCCGCGGUAA